AUACUCACCACUUCGGCAGCACAUAUACUAAAAUUGGAACAAUACAGAGAUUAGCAUGGUUCCUGUGCAAGAAUGACAUGCAAAUUCGUGAGGCAUUCUAUAUGUUU